rnacentral:rRNA from 1 species
GACGAACGCUGGCGGCGUGCUUAACACAUGCAAGUCGAGCGGUAAGGCCCUUUCGGGGGUACACGAGCGGCGAACGGGUGAGUAACACGUGGGUGACCUGCCCUUAGCUCUGGGAUAAGCCUGGGAAACUGGGUCUAAUACCGGAUAUGACUCCAUGACGCAUGUUGUGGGGUGGAAAGCCUUGUGCGGCUAGGGAUGGGCCCGCGGCCUAUCAGCUUGUUGGUGGGGUGAUGGCCUACCAAGGCGACGACGGGUAGCCGGCCUGAGAGGGCGACCGGCCACACUGGGACUGAGACACGGCCCAGACUCCUACGGGAGGCAGCAGUGGGGAAUCUUGCGCAAUGGGCGAAAGCCUGACGCAGCGACGCCGCGUGAGGGAUGACGGCCUG